rnacentral:rRNA from 1 species
ACGGGUGAGUAACGCGUAGGCAACCUGCCCUCAAGUUUGGGACAACUACCGGAAACGGUAGCUAAUACCGAAUAGUUGUUUUCUUCGCCUGAAGAGAACUGGAAAGACGGAGCAAUCUGUCACUUGGGGAUGGGCCUGCGGCGCAUUAGCUAGUUGGUGAGGUAACGGCUCACCAAGGCGACGAUGCGUAGCCGACCUGAGAGGGUGAUCGGCCACACUGGGACUGAGACACGGCCCAGACUCCUACGGGAGGCAGCAGUAGGGAAUCUUCCGCAAUGGGCGAAAGCCUGACGGAGCAAUGCCGCGUGAGUGAUGAAGGUUUUCGGAUCGUAAAGCUCUGUUGCCAGGGAAGAACGCUUGAGAGAGUAACUGCUCUCAAGGUGACGGUACCUGAGAAGAAAGCCCCGGCUAACUACGUGCCAGCAGCCGCGGUAAUACGUAGGGGGCAAGCGUUGUCCGGAAUUAUUGGGCGUAAAGCGCGCGCAGGCGGUCAUUUAAGUCUGGUGUUUAAUCCCGGGGCUCAACCCCGGAUCGCACUGGAAACUGGGUGACUUGAGUGCAGAAGAGGAGAGUGGAAUUC